UACGUAGGGUGCAAGCGUUAUCCGGAUUUAUUGGGCGUAAAGAGCUCGUAGGCGGUUCGUCGCGUCUGGUGUGAAAGCCCAUCGCUUAACGAUGGGUCUGCGCCGGAUACGGGCGGGCUUGAGUGCAGUAGGGGAGACUGGAAUUCCCGGUGUAACGGUGGAAUGUGUAGAUAUCGGGAAGAACACCAAUGGCGAAGGCAGGUCUCUGGGCCGUCACUGACGCUGAGGAGCGAAAGCGUGGGGAGCGAACAGG
rnacentral:rRNA from 1 species